UCUCCACCGUAAAUUACGGUGGGACCGUAAAUUACGGUGGACCCUGGGUUCAGCCUUUCCAUUUUGCCGUAAUUUGACACGAAAUCUUCCGUAUCUUUCAAACCGCUUAUCCGUUUGACCUACCGUUUCUUCCUACAUGUUUGUAAUUUGAUUCUCCAUCAUAUGGAGUUAAAAUCCAACAUCCGGCUUGAUAAAAUUCAAGACUUUUAAGUCUUCGGCUUAUUACUCUUUUACCAAAAUUUGACUCGUUCGUGAUUUUAUCAAACAUACAAGUUUGUUUGACCCUUAUUUCUCAUAAACCUAUUAAAUUCAAAGAUGUCUAACAUAUUGGGUUCCAAUUAUAGAAUUAUAUACAUUCUUUAACCCAUUUUCACCCAUAUGCUUAUUUUGACCCGUUUGAGGUAUUCAAGCAUAUUUUAAGCACCCAUUGCUUUCAUUCAUUUCUAAAUACAUAUAUCCACAUUUCUUAACAAAAGAUCUUCCACCACAACUAUAUUUAUGGUGGAUUCGAUGUGGUGAUUUAUAUAUACCAGAAAUUACCCUUCGAAUAGUUAUUUUACGGCAAAGACUCGAAUAGAGCCAUUUGACUAACGUUUUACAUCUUUCAACUUCUAUACUC
rnacentral:lncRNA from 1 species